rnacentral:rRNA from 1 species
UAUUCUGGUGUCCUAGGCGUAGAGGAACCACACCAAUCCAUCUCGAACUUGGUGGUUAAACUCUACUGCGGUGACGACACUGUGGGGGAGGCCUUGCGGAAAAAUAGCUCGAUGCCAGAAU